rnacentral:rRNA from 1 species
CACGUAUGCAACCUGCCUGUAAGCGGGAAUAACCCGUGAAAGACGGACUAAUACCGCAUAAUACUAAAUUACUGCAUGGUAAUUUAUUUAAACAUUUAUGGCUUACAGAUGGGCAUGCGCAUGAUUAGCUAGUUGGAGAGGUAACGGCUCCCCAAGGCAACGAUCAUUAGGGGUUCUGAGAGGAAGGUCCCCCACACUGGUACUGAGACACGGACCAGACUCCUACGGGAGGCAGCAGUGAGGAAUAUUGGUCAAUGGACGAGAGUCUGAACCAGCCAAGUCGCGUGCAGGAAGAAUGUCCUUAAUGGAUUAGUAAACUGUCUUUUGCGAAGGGGAAAUAAAGUGCAUCACGUGUGAUUGUUUUGUAUGUACUCUGCGAAUAAGGAUCGGCUAACCUCCGUGCCAGCAGCUGC